CAUUCGCUUUAGCGCACGAUAAAAAGCGUCUUCAAUCGUGUCCUGCUAAGGCCACUUGGAGUGGUCCACUUAAGAGCCGUGGACUGGUGCUUGAGUUCCUUAUUGGAGCUUCAGCCUCCCGUCCUCCAAUGAUGGCUGGAAGGAAUACGAGCGCAGGCACAGGACAACAAGGAAAACAAUCUUCUGUACUGCAGCUUUAAAAAAAAAAAAAAAAAAAAAAGAAGCCGAAACCAAGGCUGCGCUGUUAUCACGCAGCACGGGGCUGUUGGGCUAACGGCCAAACGGACAGAAUACAAAAACAUUUGAGGGAAAAAGUGUGAGCUGGUGCUGUCUUUUGACGUGCCCACAAGAUCAACAAACCAAACUUCGCACCAGUCUGGCACCGUUCGUGGAAAACACUGAAUCUUCGCCUCGAGAGUCAAUUGCCUGACAUUAUCCUAAGCCGGACUUUAAAACAAAUGCUGCUAGACAACAAAAAGAAGCGGAGCAAACGGCACAACAAGGAAAAGGUCUCCAUGGGUGAAAAUGAAGGACGGGAGCAGCCCACGGGUCAACUCCGCCCUCCGUGUUAAUGGAGACACGCAAAGACUCGAUCAACGUCCUGUCAACGGCUCACAAUGUCUGAGUGACAAUCAAAGAGAACCGUGCCAACAAUGCACCGCAGUGCUAUUCAGUCCUCCACUAAAAAGCCUGCUUGCAAAUUUAUUUCUGAAGUUUCAGAAGGACGGCAGGUUUUAAACAAAAUCAUUGAGAAAAUCAUCAUCGAUCAAUGAUAUCAAUUGAUUUUUGUCACGCCAGUAUUUCCCUAUUAUUAAUACAUAGAUGAUUUAAAAACUGUGCGUGUACAAUUUAUAAAUGAAAGAAAGAAAAAAAAAACUCAACGACAUAAACAGACACACAACAUUGUGGAGUGAUUACAUCAAAAUCUACUGGAACACAAAGGCAGUAAAACUGAGAAUCUGUUUACGUGUUUCAGUGCUGACUGCCGUUUUGGUUAGCAACAGAGUUAGCCAUACAUUUCAAAAGGCUCAACAGUUGCCUAAUCAUGUCUGUGGAAUGAGAUAAAUACACUUACGAGCCCUGUUUGAGGGAUAUGUUUAUUUGCGGAUUAAUGGAGUCACUGUCUAUUAGAACGAUGAUUCCUAACUAUUGAGAAAUUAUCCAAUUUGACUUAAUUGGUCAAAAACUAUAUAUCAUUUCUAAUUGCACAUGCCUGAAUUCCAAAUGAUGUAUCUUUGUCUAUGCCGGCGUUGUAUAGUGACAGGCAGAACAAUGAAAUGAUCUCCCACUAGAUGACAGAAGGUGCAUUUAACCUAUUUAUCCGCCUGCUUCCAUUCAUAAAACUGAAAAAGUCAUGGCUUCUUGCGGGUAUGUCACCUUUGUGAGCAAACUGAGAUGAGCGCAUCAUGAUUACGCAACAGUAUACUUUUUGUUGUGGUCUGCUGUGAUCGUUUUCUGUGUCUGUGUCUUGGUUCAAUAGAAUUGUUGAAUCACGACUUCACAAAUACCAAACUGUCCACAAAACUUUGCGCAGCAAGGGGAAAGCAAGACCACUUUUUGCUGCGGAUUCAUACAGAGGAUGUACGAUUCUUCAUAAAUGAUGUUCAGUCACAGUUGUACAGCUUUGCCCACUCCUGAGCAAGUUCUUAUUUUAGAACUAAUGCUAUUUUACCCACUAUCACACUCAUAACAUGUCACCUUGUUUCAACAUAAAGUCCAGCGCCCGUUUGAAUGACAAACUGACAAACUUUAUCAUCUCAACUAUCUAAAAAGAAAUGAUGCAAACAAGUCCAGUAAAUAUAGCGACGAGCAGAGCAGGUAGAGUUGCCGCAAGCUCUGACAAAUCGACUUUGACGCUUUGAUGCUCAAAGGCUGUGAGAGCCCUUUGACUGGCAGCGCGCCUGCAGCAGAAGUCUGUUAGCGACACUCAAACGGCAGCGGGCCCGACAGUCGAAAAAGACUCCGCACAGAGGGCAAAUCACAGCACUGCUUUGCCCUAAACAAGAAUCAUUACUGCUCAGCACAUCCAAGCUGACAUCUUUCCUGCUCCGAUCAGUGGGAGACUGGACCCAGCGUGCACACAAGCAGAUUACGCAGCGGGGGAACGUCCGCAUAGUGCGGCCGUUUAGCAAAUAUAAUAGCCAGCAACAGGCAGAUGCGAGACGGGAGCAACAUCUGUCAACACGGCUGGCCAGAUGAGACGGCAAGCAGGAGCUUUAAUCCAAAAGGGUAACCAGAACCCUUUAGUCACCAAUGUCUGCUUUCUGUCGGCUGAACUGCAACAUUAUCCCUUUGCUGCACCUGAGGCUAUACAGGCCAGCGUGCUCAUUAUCAAAUUAAAUAAACAUGCGUAGAAUAUAAGAGAGGCCCACCCCUUCCCCAAUUAAAUAUGAAAACUGGGCACUCUAACAAAGAGCACGGCAUGCGGGUAGAGGUGAAACUUAAAGCUGCAGAAGUUCUCCUUGGGAUGAACUUCAUGUGGUACCUAAUAAACUUUAGGUUUGUUUCUUGAGCCAACAUUCUUCUGUGCGUGCCAGGUGAUUGCUGAUCACGCCAAGCCAGAGUCCAAUUAAAAAUAGUUGCUGUUUCGGAGAGGUCGCCAGUCUGAAAUAUUAUUGAUUCCAACCAUCUGGUUUUCAACGCUGUCACAAAAGAAGUCAAGAAUUGAUCGUUAGCAUUAUCACAUGACUCACUUGACAUUAGCGUGAAAAAUGAAUUAAGUCUGCUUAAAUUGUGUGGAGGACUUUUAGAGCGAAAUACUGUGUGGACAUCAGAAGCUCAUUAAAAUAAAAUGUUGUAUUGAAAAGAAUGAAGCGGCAGUGGCGCUAUGACAAUUCUGGUAGCACGUAGUCAUUCUGCGAAUGACUUACCGGGAAUCCAGAGGGACUGUUUACACAGUGGAGAAGAUGCCUCUUAAACCAUUGACCAGACAUGCAUAUUU